rnacentral:rRNA from 1 species
CUGCAACUCGCCUGCAUGAAGUCGGAAUUGCUAGUAAUCGCAGAUCAGCAUGCUGCGGUGAAUACGUUCCCGGGCCUUGUACACACCGCCCGUCACACCAUGGGAGUCGGUAACACCCGAAGUCGGUAGCCUAACCGUAAGGAGGGCGCCGCCGAAGGUGGGAUUGAUGACUGGGGUGAAGUCGUAACAAGGUAUC